ACGAACGCUGGCGGCGUGCUUAACACAUGCAAGUCGAACGGAAAGGCCCUGCUUUUGUGGGGUGCUCGAGUGGCGAACGGGUGAGUAACACGUGAGUAACCUGCCCUUGACUUUGGGAUAACUUCAGGAAACUGGGGCUAAUACCGGAUAGGAGCUCCUGCUGCAUGGUGGGGGUUGGAAAGUUUCGGCGGUUGGGGAUGGACUCGCGGCUUAUCAGCUUGUUGGUGGGGUAGUGGCUUACCAAGGCUUUGACGGGUAGCCGGCCUGAGAGGGUGACCGGCCACAUUGGGACUGAGAUACGGCCCAGACUCCUACGGGAGGCAGCAGUGGGGAAUAUUGCACAAUGGGCGGAAGCCUGAUGCAGCAACGCCGCGUGCGGGAUGACGGCCUUCGGGCUGUAAACCGCUUUCGCCUGUGACGAAGCGUGAGUGACGGUAAUGGGUAAAGAAGCACCGGCUAACUACGUGCCAGCAGCCGCGGUGAUACGUAGGGUGCGAGCGUUGUCCGGAUUUAUUGGGCGUAAAGGGCUCGUAGGUGGUUGAUCGCGUCGGAAGUGUAAUCUUGGGGCUUAACCCUGAGCGUGCUUUCGAUACGGGUUGACUUGAGGAAGGUAGGGGAGAAUGGAAUUCCUGGUGGAGCGGUGGAAUGCGCAGAUAUCAGGAGGAACACCAGUGGCGAAGGCGGUUCUCUGGGCCUUUCCUGACGCUGAGGAGCGAAAGCGUGGGGAGCGAACAGGCUUAGAUACCCUGGUAGUCCACGCUGUAAACGGUGGGUACUAGGUGUGGGGUCCAUUCCACGGGUUCCGUGCCGUAGCUAACGCUUUAAGUACCCCGCCUGGGGAGUACGGCCGCAAGGCUAAAACUCAAAGGAAUUGACGGGGCCCCGCACAAGCGGCGGAGCAUGCGGAUUAAUUCGAUGCAACGCGUAGAACCUUACCUGGGUUUGACAUGGAUCGGGAGCGCUCAGAGAUGGGUGUGCCUCUUUUGGGGUCGGUUCACAGGUGGUGCAUGGCUGUCGUCAGCUCGUGUCGUGAGAUGUUGGGUUAAGUCCCGCAACGAGCGCAACCCUUGUUCACUGUUGCCAGCACGUUAUGGUGGGGACUCAGUGGAGACCGCCGGGGUCAACUCGGAGGAAGGUGGGGAUGACGUCAAGUCAUCAUGCCCCUUAUGUCCAGGGCUUCACGCAUGCUACAAUGGCUGGUACAGAGAGUGGCGAGCCUGUGAGGGUGAGCGAAUCUCGGAAAGCCGGUCUCAGUUCGGAUUGGGGUCUGCAACUCGACCUCAUGAAGUCGGAGUCGCUAGUAAUCGCAGAUCAGCAACGCUGCGGUGAAUACGUUCCCGGGGCUUGUACACACCGCCCGUCAAGUCAUGAAAGUUGGUAACACCCGAAGCCGGUGGCCUAACCGUUGUGGGGGAGCCGUCGAAGGUGGGACUGGUGAUU
rnacentral:rRNA from 1 species